GCGCAGGUAGCUCAGAUGGUUAGAGCGUUCUGUCUAGUCAACAGAGAGGUCGCGGGUUCGAAUCCCGUCCAGCGCACCA
rnacentral:tRNA from 1 species